UCAGCCGCCACGCUCCAAACACCUCCCUGCGGUGUGAGCUGCCUGUUUCUGGCUGCAGGCUUGCUCCCUGUCCAUUUUACAGCAAUCGAGGUGAGGACGGUGGCCCGACCGGUAGGGCCAUAGCUGUGAAGUCCGAGAGACAUUCUGUGUGUGCCAAUCACGGGCAGCACGCCUGUGGGUGUGCCACGUACCCUCACGGAAUACUGUUCUCUCCCCAUGAAGCAGACGCGACAGUCGUGAGUUUCAAAUGAGAAAAUCCAAAGGAGGCAACCGUCAGUGCCCGGAGCCAGCUUCAGACCAGCCACUGCGGAUUGUCACUGGGCCCUCUAGCCGGCCCCCGGACCAGGGCGCAGGCCUCGGGGGGGGAAAGCGGCGGGCGCAGCUCACUGGCAGGUGUUCCAGACCUACAGGACCAUGUGAAAUUUGGUUUGGAGACAUGACUGCAUUUCAUCCUCAGGCUGAGCAUCCCUGCAGCAGGAAAGCCAAGAGUCAGAAGAGCAAAGCAGCUGGCCCGAGGUUCCACAGACAGCUGAUGGCCAGCUCCAGACUGCCUGGGUCUGGGUCCGCUUCGCUCCCCAAGAGCCAUCAUGUCAACCGCAUGCUCGAUUGAAGGGGGAUGGGCUCAUCCAGACACAGUACCCUUUGAUUCUCCAUCAUCCAGGAGCCUCCCCCAGAGAGAUGGAUUAGAAAAUGAACCCUUCCCUGACCAUCCCAGCCUCUGAACACUAAGGACAGUCAGAAGUGAGUCUGAAACAUUUUAAU